CUGAGAACUCAAUUCACUGCUCUCUUCUGGGCAUCAUGAUCCUCAUUUAUAAAAGCAAGGCCUGGCAGCAGAUUCUCUAACUACACAGCUCUUAGCCUACCCGGUUCCCCCCAGGCCCAGCCAAGGGUCUUUGUCGGUCCUGUUUCCAAAGGAGACCCGAGAUUUGGCAAGCCGUCCUGCCCCCAUCUUGCAGAGCUCCAGAGCCUGGCAGCUGGAGGGCCCUUCAGAGCUUUGUCUGCACAGUGUUAGCCAAGAUGGGGUGAAUGUGCUUCCAGACUCAAAGACCUAGUGGUGGGCCCUACUUGCACCUGCCGCAGUGACUGACUCUGACCUUGCUCCUAACCUCUCCAUAGCAAGGAAUAACAAUGCUCACGUCAUGGGCUGAAGAUUACGUGAAAAGCGAGCACACAAUCCUUUCAGUACAUGGCAAGCCGUCGGCGCCCCGAUUCCCUGGCUGUCUCCUUAAGUCAAAGCCUGCAAAUGUUUCUUCCGGGGAAUGCUAGAGGGAAGCAGUAGCAUGCCAAUCCUGAGAAGCAAGGGAUGUAAAAACAACAACAAGAGAAGUCCAGGAUUUCACUUGAGAGAAAGGUUUUUAUUAUCCACCCAGUUUAGCUCCAUAUUCAUCAGCUCUUAAGUGAUCAUGAGUUCUCAACAGAACCCAUACGAGGAAUAAAAGAGAAGAAUAAGACCCUCAAGAAAUUCAUAGUCCAAAAGGAGACCACGGAGUAUGAAAGGGACUACUAGCAAAUAAUGAAAGGCAGUGAAGAAUGGGUGAAUAAUCCAGAGAGAGCCUAGAAGUGAGCAUGUGGAGAGGAGACAAUGGUGUCACAGCUCCCAAUGGCAAUCCCUCACUAGGUCUGUUUUGCUUCCAUGGCUGUUCCUGUGGCCAGAAUCCAACUGAAGUACCAUCUCAUGUUCCACCCCAUCUUCAGCGGCCAUAGUGAAAAUCACAAUGAGCAUGCCACUUGCCGAGUGUGGCACUGUGGACUCAUCCAGGUGGGUCCUCUGGAUAUUUCUUCUGCUUACAGCUUUGGAAAUGAAUAUUAAAAGUAUCAUUAGCCGGUUGGCGGUGGCGCACGCCUUUAAUCUCAGCACUCAGGAGGCAGAGCCAGGUGGAUCUCUGUGAGUUUGAGGCCAGCCUGGUCUACAGACUGAGAUCCAGGAAAAAUGCAAAGCUACACAGAGAAACCCUGUCUCGAAAAAACAACAACAAAUCAAUCAUUCCCUUUGGAGGACCUGAUAUUUUCCCCAUAGCAUUACCCCAAAUGCUUUACUUGGCACCAUGUGAAGGUCCUGUCUUUGACCCCCCCACCCCCACCCCAUGACUCAAAACUCUGGACUGUCAGUCACUGGCGGCCAUACUAAGCAACUGAACACAUGAUUAAAUAAUGGCAUUUGUGUUUCCAUA